rnacentral:rRNA from 1 species
AUUGAACGCUGGCGGCAGGCUUAACACAUGCAAGUCGAGGGGCAGCAUGAUUGUAGCAAUACAAUUGAUGGCGACCGGCAAACGGGUGCGGAACACGUACACAACCUCCCAAUAAGUGGGGAAUAGCCCAGAGAAAUUUGGAUUAAUACCCCGUAACAUAACGAUGUGGCAUCACAUUGUUAUUAUAGAUUUUUCGCUUAUUGAUGGGUGUGCGGCUGAUUAGAUAGUUGGCGGGGUAACGGCCCACCAAGUCUACGAUCAGUAGCUGAUGUGAGAGCAUGAUCAGCCACACGGGCACUGAGACACGGGCCCGACUCCUACGGGAGGCAGCAGUAAGGAAUAUUGGACAAUGGACGCAAGUCUGAUCCAGCCAUGCCGCGUGAAGGAUUAAGGUCCUCUGGAUUGUAAACUUCUUUUAUAAGGGACGAAAAAAGGCUUUUCUAAGUCGUCUGACGGUACCUUAUGAAUAAGCACCGGCUAACUCCGUGCCAGCCGCCGCGGUAAUAC